rnacentral:rRNA from 1 species
UACGUAGGGGGCUAGCGUUGCUCGGAAUCACUGGGCGUAAAGGGUGCGUAGGCGGGUCUUUAAGUCAGGUGUGAAAUCCUGGAGCUCAACUCCAGAACUGCCUUUGAUACUGAGGAUCUUGAGUUCGGGAGAGGUGAGUGGAACUGCGAGUGUAGAGGUGAAAUUCGUAGAUAUUCGCAAGAACACCAGUGGCGAAGGCGGCUCACUGGCCCGAUACUGACGCUGAGGCACGAAAGCGUGGGGAGCAAACAGG